rnacentral:rRNA from 1 species
AUUGGACGCUGGCGGCAGGCUUAACACAUGCAAGUCGAGCGGAGUGAUGGUGCUUGCACUAUCACUUAGCGGCGGACGGGUGAGUAAUGCUUAGGAAUCUGCCAUUUAGUGGGGGACAACAUUCCGAAAGGAAUGCUAAUACCGCAUACGUCCUACGGGAGAAAGCAGGGGAUCUUCGGACCUUGCGCUAAAUGAUAAGCCUAAGUCGGAUUAGCUAGUUGGUGGGGUAAAGGCCUACCAAGGCGACGAUCUGUAGCGGGUCUGAGAGGAUGAUCCGCCACACUGGGACUGAGACACGGCCCAGACUCCUACGGGAGGCAGCAGUGGGGAAUUUUGGACAAUGGGCGAAAGCCUGAUCCAGCCAUGCCGCGUGUCUGAAGAAGGCCUUCGGGUUGUAAAGGACUUUUGUCGGGGAGGAAAUCCCCAGCGCUAAUACCGCUGGGGGAUGACAGUACCUGAAGAAUAAGCACCGGCUAACUACGUGCCAGCAGCCGCCGUAAAAC